GCGAAUAUUUCUAACGCUUUAACGACAACAUACUGUAGUAAAAACAUACCUUCGGACGUCGUAACAAACUUAUCGCUCUUCUUCUUUCGCUUCCAUUUCCAGGGUCGAAAAAACCUUCCGAUACUAGCAGCGAAUUUGGAUCUCCUCGACGGUGGUGGCGUUCCGGGUGCUAGGCUGGCAGAACCUCUGGAGGACGAAUUAUGAAACACAGGCGUUAUAUUAUUUAUUGUUGGUUCGCUAGUGGCUCUCUCCCUUGAAUUCACACCAUUCUGUGGUCUGACAGCGCCAUGAUUUGAAUCUGCCAUUGAAUUCUUAUUGUUCCCCAAUUACUUCUCCUUCGUUCUCGCCGACAUUUUGAAGUUCUG